CAUUGGCAAAUAUUUGAGACAGAAAAUUACAUGCAAGGGAUCUCCCACUAGAUUGUCAAAUGAUUUCUCAACAAAAACACAUCAGGUCA